CAAUAUGUAGAUCCCUGAAUGUGCCCGAUCUCGUCUGAUCUCGGAAGCUAAGUAGGGUCGGGCCUGGUUAGUACUUGGAUGGGAGUAUGGAGUUUUGGUUUUGA
rnacentral:rRNA from 1 species